CAUGUGCCCCAGAAAGUGAAGGGCUUGUUUCUGGGAUGGUGACAACUAACAAGGCCGAGCCCUCUCCUCUCUAUCUUUCCAACCCGAAACGCAUUGAUGUGAAUAAUGCAGUAGAUAAAAAAAACAACAAAAUAGUACGUACUGAAUAAGAUAUCCCCAUUACUCUCACCUACCAACCUCACCUCUUUUCUUUUACCAAGGUAUCCCCACUACUCAUGCCAAAUUAUGCGAUCACACAACAUAUUUUAGCGGAUAUUCAUAGGUCAUUACAAGGUUAAUUUGGGAAGUGAGAGUCAGGUAAUUUGAGACAUGAAAACCCUAAAACCUUUCGCUUCUCUAACACUAUAUAAUAACACUACCACCUUCCCAAUUCCAAAUCAUUUCAUACUUCCUUGAGACCCUCAUCUUUUCCCAAUUCAUUCUGCAAUCUUCACGCCUCACUCUCUCUCCCUUCUCAAUUCCUCCUAACUCUCAUCACUGCAAGGAUAUACUUCCUUCUGAAACACAAGAGGCUUUAGCAUCAUUUUCCAACUAUGAAAAUGAUCCUUUAUGAUAUGUCGACAACAGUGGUCAAGAAGGGGACCAAUUGCUGAACAAGAUAUUGGCGGCAGUGGUCAAGAAGUGGGAGCUGUUGCUGAACCGGAAAUCAAAUUCACCACCGCAACAGUAUGCUUCCAUGUCUUUCAAUGCUUCUUUAUAGCACCAUCUAUUUUAUUAAUUCUAGCUUUCGCGGCCAUCACGUCCCCUAUAGAUUACCUUUGUACCACAGUUCAAUAUGUGAUUUGUGAUAUAAUUAUGGUGGAGAUCAUUUGUCGAUUUAAGUAAAAAAUCACCCCAAAGAUUGUCAAGUUCUUAGGAAUAAGAUGCAUCAGGGAAGCAAUAGAGAUAUUUUUAUAGGCUCUGGGUCUUUAUUUACAAAAUAUUAUAGAUCCCGAAUGCAUAAUUUGUGUUUUUACCCUAGUAUGUUGUUCCUACUACCUGAUUUCCUAUGUCUUAUUUUUGAGACAUAGUGGAGCCCUAAGUUUUCUGGAUUCUGCCUUAGGGAUAUAUGCUGUAAUUCCAGUGCGUUUUAUAAAAUUGAUGGACGGUGGAAAAAAUCUUUAAGGUUAUGAAUAUGCAUUAUUCGUUCUUUCAAUUACAACUUGCAUUUCUCUAUUUUUAUUUAAAAGUCAUUAGGAGAAUGUAAUUGAAGGGAUUGUGAAUCCACAAAACUUUGUUUUU